rnacentral:rRNA from 1 species
AGAGUUUGAUUCUGGCUCAGAACGAACGCUGGCAGCGUGGAUUAGGCAUGCAAGUCGAACGGGAAUCCUUGAAUUCAAUUCUUCGGGAGAGAAUUCUUGGAAGAGAGUGGCGGAAGGGUGAGGAACACGUGGGUAAUCUACCUCUUGGUUGGGGAUAACUUCGCGAAAGCGUAGCUAAUACCGAAUAUGGUCGCCUGGCGCAUGUCAGGCUGAUUAAAGGCGGGGACCUUCGGGCCUGCCGCCGGGAGAGGAGCCCGCGUCCCAUCAGCUUGUUGGUAAGGUAACGGCUUACCAAGGCUUACGGGUAGCUGGUCUGAGAGGAUGGUCAGCCACACUGGGACUGAGACACUGCCCAGACUCCUACGGGAGGCUGCAGUCGAGGAUCAUUCGCAAUGCGCGAAAGCGUGACGAUGCGACGCUGCGUGGAGGAUGACGGCCCUAGGGUUGUAAACUCUUGUCAUUCGGGAAAAAUGGCACGGGUGUUAAUAGCGCCUGUGUGUGAUGGUACCGAAAGAGGAAGCCACGGCUAACUCUGUGCCAGCAGCCGCGGUAAUACAGAGGUGGCGAGCGUUGUUCGGAUUUACUGGGCGUAAAGGGUGCGUAGGUGGCACCGUAUGUCGGGUGUGAAAGCCCACCGCUUACCGGUGGAACUGCAUUCGAAACUGCGGAGCUAGAGUACAGGAGGGCUGGCGAAGGCGGCUCUCUGGAAUGUUACUGACACUGAAGCACGAAAGUUGGGGGAGCAAACAGGAUUAGAUACCCUGGUAGUCCCAGCCGUAAACGGUGUGCACUUGGUGUGGGAGGUAUUGACCCCUUCCGUGCCGGAGCUAACGCGUUAAGUGCACCGCCUGGGGAGUACGGCCGCAAGGUUGAAACUCAAAGAAAUUGACGGGGGCCCGCACAAGCGGAGGAGCAUGUGGCUUAAUUCGAUGCAACGCGAAGAACCUUACCAGGGCUUGACAUGUAGCUGCACGCCUCCUGAAAGGGAGGAAGCUUUCGAAGGUGCUACACAGGUGCUGCAUGGCUAUCGUCAGUUCGUGCCGUGAGGUGUUGGGUUAAGUCCCGCAACGAACGCAACCCCUGUGGUUAGUUGCCACCGCCGGUGAUGAGCCGGCGAGCACUCUAGCCAGACUGCCCGUACAAGCGGGAGGAAGGUGGGGACGACGUCAAGUCAGUAUGGCCCUUACGCCCUGGGCUGCACACGUGCUACAAUGGCCGGUACAAUGGGAUGCAAUACCGCGAGGUGGAGCAAAUCCACAAAACCGGCCUCAGUUCGGAUUGGAGUCUGAAACUCGACUCCAUGAGGUCGGAUUCGCUAGUAACGGCGCAUCAGCUACGGCGCCGUGAAUACGUUCCCGGGCCUUGUACAC